rnacentral:rRNA from 1 species
UACAGAGGCCACGAGCGUUAGGCGGAAUCACUGGGCUUAAAGCGUGUGUAGGUGGAUGGGUAAGUACCUUGUGAAAUCCCACGGCUCAACCGUGGAACUGCUUGGUAUACUGCCUGUCUUGAGGCACUCAGGGGCGAGCGGAACAAAUGGUGGAGCGGUGAAAUGCGUAGAUAUCAUUUGGAACGCCAAUGGUGAAGACAGCUCGCUGGGGGUGUACUGACACUGGGACACGAAAGCCAGGGGAGCAAACGGG